rnacentral:lncRNA from 1 species
AAAUCAUUUGAUUUGUUUCUACAGUGGUUCAAUAAACGUAAAUCGUUCUUUUCCCCACUCUUGGACCAUUUAGGAUUAUUCUAUUUAUCCAUUAAAUCACUCGUUUCGUACCUACUGAGAAUUGAUGGAUCGUUCAUAUCUUGACUUCUCAUUGAUCCUUUGAAACCACUUAUCUUUAGAGCUAUACAACUACGGAUUCAAUUUUAACCGUAGACUAUUGUUGAUUGAGAUACAUCUUCAUCAAUUGUUAUACGAUCCUGAAUUGUGGUCACUCUUAUACUGAAACCGAUCGUACCUUUCUUGACUUGUGAUUUCGUGACCACAAAUUAUUAUCACUUGUUAUUGGAAUCCCAAAACUAUUGAACUAUGAAAUUGAUUCUUUCCAAAGUGGAAUUCAUUAUUGGGAUUCAAAUUGUAAAUUGAGAUAGUCGGAAGCAUAUCCGAUAUCUAUAUAUGAUUGAUUCCUUUGGGGACGCCCUAAGGAUAAUUGACCAGUUGGGCC